ACGGAGGGUGCAAGCGUUAUCCGGAUUCACUGGGUUUAAAGGGUGCGUAGGCGGUCUGACAAGUCUGAUGUGAAAUCUAUGGGCUCAACCCAUAGUCUGCAUCGGAAACUGUCGGGCUUGAGUAUGGGAGAGGUGAGUGGAAUUUCCGGUGUAGCGGUGAAAUGCGUAGAUAUCGGAAGGAACACCUGUGGCGAAAGCGGCUCACUGGACCAUUACUGACGCUGAGGCACGAAAGCUAGGGGAGCAAGCAGGA
rnacentral:rRNA from 1 species